UUUACGUCGGACUAGAAGUUAAUAUAGAUAGAAACUGAACCUGGCUGUUCAAGUUCUUCUCACUUUUUUGCAAAGUGCAUGCGACUUAUCUAGAUUUACAUGUACAUAGUUCAGAUUACCGGAUUGUUGCUGCGUAGUUUGUUGAUUCUGGAGCCAAGAUGGCAUCUUCUCUUGAUGCAAUAGAUGAUCCUUUUAUGAAACUUCACACCUGAAAGAGAAGAGCAUAAGAGCUGGACUAAUUAAAAGAAAGCACAAAGCUGCUUGCUUGCAGUCUUGACAAAUUUAAGACUGUAAAAGGAUAAGAAAAAAAAAUCAAAAGACACUGAAGCGGUUUCUUCUAUAUACAGUUUUUUUUUUUAAUUUUAGCAGCUCAUAGUAACAGAUUCACAUUCACAAAAGGACGAUGCUACCAGUAGAUCAUUUCUUAUCAUGGAGCUAGGUACCAUGGUGUCAUAAGGUAUAUUCACACAAUAUCUUGAGGAACAUUACUUGAUGUAUUAUGCUUGCCUUGAAUGUCUUAAGCUCGUAGUUCAUAAAGAAGAAUAUCCGCAGCUAGGUAAUAGUACUGCAUCAAGAAGUGGUGGUAUCUAGAAAAUCAAACUUGUUAUCUCAGAUGUGGUGGUACCGGCCAGAAUCAAUUUUCUCCCCCCAGACUUGGGUGAGAAUAAUGAUUGGUACCAUCCAAUUCCUAUCGCGAGACAUGUAUCUGAUUUUAAACAAGAGUACUAAAUAUAGGGAUUUCACACAUGACAAGAAAGUGCAUUUGAAACAUGGAAAUAGUAUGUAUAUAUAGUGUACUGUGGGAUAAAUGCAGUCUAUUCAGGACAUGAGCUGUUUUUAACAAAAUAAUAUGAAUAAUUUAUAUUCCCUGGAGAUAUGUAUGACAAUGUAGUUAUAUUUUGUUCAUACAAUAGGAUAGCAACAGAUUACUACCAGCACAACAAUUGCAACUGGAUAAUAAUUUGCAAUUCAUCCACAAAACAUUGAUAAUAAUAAAAUAAAUAAGCAUGGCAGAACAUCCAUUGCUCUCUCUAAUGGUCGUUUUAGCAAAUUCAGUUGAAAGUUUCCAAACUCAAGCUAAAUAAAGAAGAAGAAGAAGUAGUAGCUUUUAUAUGCAAAUGCAAGUAAUAAAUGUAAUCUGAGACAAACCUUUUUGAUGGUUUGUACUGGACUGGGCAACAAAAGAGAAGUCUCUCCUUUUUUUUUUUGAUAUAACUUACCACUCAUGUCAAGUGGUCGAAGUCUCUCCUUCUUGACCUUCCCCCCAAAUUUGUCUGUGACAUACGUAUCUGAUUAACGAAGACGGAUCGAACCAGUUGGUAGUCAAAUUCUAACUGCAAGUAGCAUGAGAAGAAUAUAUAUGGGAGCAUAGGGUGAAGAUCCCAGUCUAGAAUUACAUCAAAAACCUCCAGUGCAACUCGCAGGUUGCUGCUCCUACGAUUAAUUAGGAUGAGCGCGUGGCCGUGGAGACUUGAGUAGGGUACACUACACUACACUUGGGGACAAUGGAGGGGACGGAGGGCGCUGACUGACCUGCUCGCAGGCGCUGCGCUUGCCGAGCUCCUCGAAGAAGCGGAGGAGGCCACGGGCAACCACCUACGAGGCCACGAGGUCGUCGACCAGGACGCCGCCGGGUCGCAGCCGGCGGAGGGGAGGGGACGGGGCGAGGGUCCGAACUCCGAAGCAGACAGCCGCGACCGCGAUGUCAGGACCCGAGAACGUGUUAUCUGAAUAUAAUCCAUCGCUG
rnacentral:lncRNA from 1 species